AAAAUCUCAAUUCUCUCGCCAUCGCUAUUCAUCUCCUUGCCGCCAUUGCUGACAAGCCUCCUCCGUCAACGCGACGCCGGUGGAGUUAUGAAUGGAGGACGAGGUGAUCGUGGAGCCUCUCAAUUCGUGGAGCUCUUGUUGCCUCUCGUGUAUUUUAGUGACGAUUCCAUUCAGAUCGUUGAGCUAAUGCUUUAGAUUUUCACUUUUGCAUCGUCUUCCAUGGCGGGUUUUGCCGUUGGUUCUGCUUUUGCUCCGGCAGCUUGAAACACUCAAAGCGUGGUCUCGGUGGCGCUGGCUGAGGAGAUCAGGAACGCAAGCGAGCGGGAGUCUCUGGAACCUUCGAUUGAAGCUGUUGAAGCCGGGAAUUCGUAUCAGAGUUGUUGUGUUGUUGUGAAGAACAUGCAAAGAUGUGUCUACGCCACUCCAAGUCACCCUAUACAUCUUACUGAUGAAAUGGUGAAACUUGAGAAAGAUGCUAAAAAAUCUGUAGAUUUCCAUAAAAAGCUGCAAGAUGCAGUAUCUAGUUUAAAGAACGAGUUAGCAAAACAUCUUCUGAACCUGAAUGUUUCAUGCUUUAGUAUGGCUCCUGUUAAGAGGAAGUAUGCAUUUGAAAGGUUCGAAAUUCCUUCUGGUGAAAGUUAUGUGCUUAAAAUAUGUUAUCCAUUGAAGGAUCAAGUAUUUCCUGCAGACCUGAAAGGAGAAAGUUUUUCUGCUCUUUUAGGAACUCAUUACAGCAGUGUGGUUAAGUAGAAGCAUUUUUGUUCAAUAUACUUUAGCAAAUCAAUUUCAUUUGGUGGCUCAUUGAUGAUGAUGAUUCCAAGAUAUCUAAUAUUGCCUAAUGCCCUCUGUUUUGUUAAGGUGUUGAUGUGAAGAAGAUAAGAGAUUGUGUUGGAGAUCCUAAUGUGGAUGUUGAGAAUCCAGUUCUUAAGAAGGAACAGGAUGCACAGAUUGGGAAAGGCACUCGCGGUGAUGUUACUAUUCUGCCUACUCUCAUCAUAAACAACAGACAGUAUAGAGGCAAGUUGUCAAGAGAAGCAGUACUCAAGGCCAUCUAUUUUGCUUUCAAAGAAACCACUGAGCCAUCAAUUUGCUUAACUCCAGACAUGGAAACAAAUGAUUGCCUCGUAAACAAUGGCGGUUGUUGGCAGGACAAAUCUGCUAACAUUACUGCAUGCAGGGACACUUUUAGAGGAAGAGUUUGUGAAUGCCCUGUUGUGCAAAAUGUGAAAUUUGUUGGUGACGGAUAUACUCAUUGUGAAGGUAAUUUUUAUUAGUCCUUAGAGUUACUUUCGUCCCAUAUUUAGGUACAAUUGGUAAUUAACUAUUUGGUUGGGUUGAUGAAGAAGGAUUGCUGUUGAAUCUUAACUCCUGUGGCUCUAUCAGUAGUUUCUAUGUCUAUGCUGUUAGGCAAAUUGGUAGCUUUGGAUUCUCUUGUUUUGAGGAUCUUAGAAUUGUUCUUCAAUCUGUUGUGGAGCUUAAAGAUUUCUUGGAUCACACUGCCAUGCUUUCUAUGCCAAAUCAAAGAAGCAUUACUCAUCAGGUACCAGCAGCCAUGGCUCACUAAUAUAAUCUUAAUUAGGAUCUUCAUUAUUGGAAAUAUUAUUUUUGUUUAAUUUGUUACUGUUAAUUAGUACUCUUUCUUUGGAAUUUUGGGGAGGCUUAUUAUUAUUAUUAAUAUUGAUUUAUUUGUUCAUCAUCUAUAUAUCUCUUGUUUGAUCUGUAUUUGUUUUCUUUUUCUUUUUUCUUUGAUCUUUGUUGAAUUUGAAGAGAAAAUGAACUGUAAUUUUAGCAUGAUGAAUAAUUGGGAAUGUGAAAUCUGAAAAUUUAUAGA